UACGUAGGGUGCGAGCGUUAAUCGGAAUUACUGGGCGUACAGCGUGCGCAGGCGGUGAGUUAAGUCUGCUGUGACAGCCCCGGGCUCAACCUGGGAAUGGCAGUGGAAACUGGCUCGCUGGAGUGUGGCAGAGGGGGGUGGAAUUCCGCGUGUAGCAGUGAAAUGCGGAGAGAUGCGGAGGAACACCGAUGGCGAAGGCAGCCCCCUGGGCCAAUACUGACGCUCAGGCACGAAAGCGUGGGGAGCAAACAGG
rnacentral:rRNA from 1 species